GGAAACAAGCAGCUAUUGACAGGAUCAUUUGGAAAACUAAAAAUUACCCCGGUACUCACGUGAGCCUUCUGAAUGAGAUUCAAGAACAGUUUUAAUGCUUGAUGAGGAUGGAAGACAAACUUUAUUGGGGUGAAAAAUGAAUAAGAGAUGAAAAAAAUGGAGACAGAGAGCAUGCGGCCUUCCUGCGAGGAACACAGUCUGAGGAAACAUACAACUCUCACAUGAUUGUUCAAGUGCAAAUUCUGCGCCUCUUGAUCACAGAUCGUGCCUUAUGUGCAGAGUCUAUCCUGGUGACCUCCUAAUGGGAGAGUCAAAGGAAAACCAACUCCUUCGUUCUCCUCUUCAGUGUUUACCAAACUGUUCUCCUCAAUGAAAACAUACCGUCCCACUUCUAUCAGCAGAGUUCAAUGAAACAAACAGAACUACUAUUUGUCUCUGUCGGACCCUGGUUUUCAUAUUUGAUGCUGGAGCUCCAAGACUGC
rnacentral:lncRNA from 1 species